rnacentral:rRNA from 1 species
CCCUUAGAUGAUCUGGGCCGCACGCGUGCUACACUGAGUGGAUCAGCGGGUCAGGUUGCGCGAAAGCGUUUCCUAAUCUUUAAAUCCGCUCGUGAUGGGGAUUGACGGUUGCAAUUUUCUGUCAUGAACGAGGAAUACCUUGUAAGCGCGGGUCAUCAUCCCGCGCUGAAUACGUCCCUGCCCUUUGUACACACCGCCCGUCGCUCCUACCGAUUGAGUGGUCCGGUGAGGCUUUGGGAUCUGAGCGGAAAGAGCGUUUCGCUGUUUCUGCUCGGAAAACUCAGUCGAACCUUAUCAUUUAGAGGAAGGAGAAGUCGUAACA